rnacentral:rRNA from 1 species
AGUGAACGCUGGCGGUAGGCCUAACACAUGCAAGUCGAACGGCAGCACAGUAAGAGCUUGCUCUUACGGGUGGCGAGUGGCGGACGGGUGAGGAAUACAUCGGAAUCUACUUUUUCGUGGGGGAUAACGUAGGGAAACUUACGCUAAUACCGCAUACGACCUACGGGUGAAAGCAGGGGAUCUUCGGACCUUGCGCGAUUGAAUGAGCCGAUGUCGGAUUAGCUAGUUGGCGGGGUAAAGGCCCACCAAGGCGACGAUCCGUAGCUGGUCUGAGAGGAUGAUCAGCCACCCUGGAACUGAGACACGGUCCAGACCCCUAAGGGAGGCAGCAGUGGGGAAUAUUGGACAAUGGGCGCAAGCCUGAUCCAGCCAUACCGCGUGGGUGAAGAAGGCCUUCGGGUUGUAAAGCCCUUUUGUUGGGAAAGAAAAGCAGCAGGUUAAUACCCCGCUGUUCUGACGGUACCCAAAGAAUAAGCACCGGCUAACUUCGUG